rnacentral:rRNA from 1 species
GGCGGGGCUAAUACAUGCAAGUCGAAGCGAAUGGAUUAAGAAGCUUGCUCUUAUGAAGUUAGCGGCGGACGGGUGAGUAACACGUGGGUAACCUGCCCAUAAGACUGGGAUAACUCCGGGAAACCGGGGCUAAUACCGGAUAACAUUUUGAACCGCAUGGUUCGAAAUUGAAAGGCGGCUUCGGCUGUCACUUAUGGAUGGACCCGCGUCGCAUUAGCUAGUUGGUGAGGUAACGGCUCACCAAGGCAACGAUGCGUAGCCGACCUGAGAGGGUGAUCGGCCACACUGGGACUGAGACACGGCCCAGACUCCUACGGGAGGCAGCAGUAGGGAAUCUUCCGCAAUGGACGAAAGUCUGACGGAGCAACGCCGCGUGAGUGAUGAAGGCUUUCGGGUCGUAAAACUCUGUUGUUAGGGAAGAACAAGUGCUAGUUGAAUAAGCUGGCACCUUGACGGUACCUAACCAGAAAGCCACGGCUAACUACGUGCCAGCAGCCGCGGUAAUACGUAGGUGGCAAGCGUUAUCCGGAAUUAUUGGGCGUAAAGCGCGCGCAGGUGGUUUCUUAAGUCUGAUGUGAAAGCCCACGGCUCAACCGUGGAGGGUCAUUGGAAACUGGGAGACUUGAGUGCAGAAGAGGAAAGUGGAAUUCCAUGUGUAGCGGUGAAAUGCGUAGAGAUAUGGAGGAACACCAGUGGCGAAGGCGACUUUCUGGUCUGUAACUGACACUGAGGCGCGAAAGC